rnacentral:rRNA from 1 species
AUUGAACGCUGGCGGCAUGCUUUACACAUGCAAGUCGAACGGCAGCGCGGGCUUCGGCCUGGCGGCGAGUGGCGAACGGGUGAGUAAUGCAUCGGAACGUGCCCAGUAGUGGGGGAUAGCCCGGCGAAAGCCGGAUUAAUACCGCAUACGACCUGAGGGUGAAAGCGGUGGACCGAAAGGCCUCGCGCUAUUGGAGCGGCCGAUGUCGGAUUAGCUAGCUGGUGGGGUAGAGGCUUACCAAGGCGACGAUCCGUAGCUGGUCUGAGAGGACGACCAGCCACACUGGGACUGAGACACGGCCCAGACUCCUACGGGAGGCAGCAGUGGGGAAUUUUGGACAAUGGGGGCAACCCUGAUCCAGCCAUGCCGCGUGCGGGAAGAAGGCCUUCGGGUUGUAAACCGCUUUUGUUCGGGAAGAAAUCCUCUGGGCUAAUACCCCGGGGGGAUGACGGUACCGGAAGAAUAAGCACCGGCUAACUACGUG